CUCCCGGCACGGGGAGGUAGUGACGAAAAAUAACGAUACGGGACUCAUCCGAGGCCCCGUGAUCGGAAUGAGCACACUUUAAAUCCUUUAACGAGGAUCAAUUGGAGGGCAAGUCUGGUGCCAGCAGCCGCGGUAAUUCCAGCUCCAAUAGCGUAUAUUAAAGUUGCUGCGGUUAAAAAGCUCGUAGUCGAAAUUGUGUCCUCGGCCGCCGGUUCGUCGCUCGCGACGCCAACUGGCGCGCACGUUGGACGUCCAGCCGGUACAACGAACUCGCCUACGGGGUGCUCUUAACCGAGUGUCUAGGCGGGGGCCGGCAACGUUACUUUGAACAAAUUAAAGUGCUUAAAGCAGGCUAAAUUGCGCUCGCAUACACGCGCAUGGAAUAAUCGAAUAGGACCUCCGUUCUAUUUUGUUGGGUUUUUGUGGAACGACAGACGGAGGUAAUGAUCAAUGGGUGCGGAUGGGGGCAUUCGUAUUGCGACGUUAGAGGUGAAAUUCUUGGAUCGUCGCAAGACGGACUUGAGCGAAAGCAUUUGCCAAAAACGCUUUCAUCGAUCAAGAACGAAAGUUAGAGGUUCGAAGGCGAUCAGAUACCGCCCUAGUUCUAACCAUAAACUAUGCCAGCUAGCGAUCCGCCGAAGUUACUUCUAUGACUCGGCGGGCAGCUUCCGGGAAACCAAAGCUUUCGGGUUCCGGGGGAAGUAUGGUUGCAAAGCUGAAACUUAAAGGAAUUGACGGAAGGGCACCACCAGGAGUGGAGCCUGCGGCUUAAUUUGACUCAACACGGGAAACCUCACCAGGCCCGGACACCGGAAGGAUUGACAGAUUGAGAGCUCUUUCUUGAUUCGGUGGGUGGUGGUGCA
rnacentral:rRNA from 1 species